AAAUCUGUCAAAAUAUGUCUCAUUUAAUAGAUAAAAAAAUAGUGCGUGGUUUUGAGCUUCUGUUUCUUCCUGGUGGCCACAUCUCUGCAUAAAUGCAUCCUCCUGUGGUUCAACUUUGGAAGCUCCCUCUUCCCCUGUCCAGCUAACUUUGUCCCCUGACCAUUGAUAUCAUAUGUCUUUGUGCCUCUUUAUGGUCAGCUUGGAAACCGGAUUUUCCUUAAUUAGAAUUCUCUGUGAUAGGCUAGCAGAAAUCUUACAAUUUGGUCAUAAAAAAGCUUCACACACACACACACACACACACACACACAGAAACAUAAGUGCAUUUUAUUAGCAGAAGGAGCAUCUGCGUAUCUGUGGUGGGACCACAGUCAUUUGCAGAACAUGAAGUUCAGGCUACGUUGGGGGUUGACUCAGCUUUCAAGUAGCUAUGGAUGGUAAGAUUAAAAGGACUGCUCUCUCUGGGGACUUUUAAAUAAUGACAUUAUUGGCAGCCUGGAGAGAUGUUUUGGGUUUGAAAUGUAGACAAUUUUAAUAGUCACAUUUAGUCACAUUUAGAAUGGGUGAUGUUUGUAUAAACCCACCCAUGACAAUUGCUACUUCUUUACCUUCCCACCCAGAAUGACAGCAGGAUGCUGGGGAGAAGCAGACUGAAGUAUCCUUUGGCAUCCGAUGUGGCAAUGCUAUAGCUGGUGGCUGGAGAUCAGUGAGGGAUGAAAAAGGGGCAGGGAGUGACCCUAUCAAAUAAUAGUAUUGGCAUACCUGGGCAUUAGACUAGGUCUAGCAAGGGAGUUUUUUUUAAAAAAAAAAUAAAUACAGGUUUCCAGGCCCUAUUCUUGGAGAUUCUGACUCUGCACAUCUUGAGAUGGAAUUCCAUCAGCUGACACCCAUAACUGGCCAGAUUUGGGUCAUUUGGGUUUAGAUGGUGUCAUAUAGACCUGAGCACAAAUCUUCUCUUGGGCAAUUAAUAUCUAUAAAACCUUAGGCAAGAUGCAUUCUCCCUGAAUCUUAGUCUUCUCAUUUAUGGUCAUUAUCCUCUAACCUGUCUCCUUACUAGAUGGCAAGCAACUUGAUGGCAGAAUCUCUGUGUGUUUUCUCUUUGUCACCAGCUCCUUGCACUGUGCUAGGCAGAUGAUAGUAACCUAGUUAAUUGGUUGGGAAUGAAUGAAUUAAUGAAUGAACGAGUAAAUGAAUGUUAGAAGGAAAGGAUAUAUGAUUAAUAUCCCAUAAAUUUGUUGUGUGUAUUAAAUGAGAUAAUCAUGUGUAAUACUCUUGAUGCAGAUUCUAGGACGUUUCCUUUCCCUCUUUUCAUUUCGCUAUUCUAUAAUCCAGCAUGCUCUCCGUGUGGUAGUGUUUUCAUAUCCCUUUGCCUUCCUUUCUCUUUCCGAAAGCUGAAAGCGGUGCUCAGGACACAUGCCUUCUGCUUCCCGCUUCACUUGCAUCUAUCCACAGCAGAUUCUUUGGCAUACAUUAUUAGCUCAUAGAGAUUUACAGACUACCUUUGUAACUCAAAUCCUUCUUGUUUCCCUAAAGAAACUGCUGCUUUUUUCUUAGAACAUCUUAAUACAACAGUAAAGAAGAAAUAAAAAAACAAAGAUUUUAACCAAAUUCGUGUAUUUCAAUUACUACUGUUCUCCCGGUGCCCUCAUUAAUGUAGGUAAGUGAGACAUCUCUGCAUUAUUAUCUUGUCAGAAAACAGCCCCUUUCCCUUUCCCUCAUCUGAUUAGGCAUUCCCUUCUUUCAGAAACCUCAUCCCAUUUGGCUAAUGCAUCUUGACAACUCCUUUAAUAAGAGUGCCUGGUGUUAGCAUUCAGGGAUAUGUAGGAGUUGACAAAAAUCUACCUUGCAUUCUUUCCAUGGCUUGAAAAUAAGACACUUCACCCAGGGAGACACAGCACCUGCAUCUCUUGACUCAAUAUGGCGAGAAAGCUCGAGGGGAGAGAGGGAUGACCGUGGAUUUAACAGAGACCGUUUGAUUUAUUUAUGUUUCUUUUCCUCUCUUCCUUGUGAAAAAGCUAGUGGAGGGAGGAGAAAUUUGGGAAGCAGAAAAUGUUUCAAUCUACCUAAAAAGAGGAAAAAAAUGAACAACAAGAAGAGCUAAGAGAAUAUGAGAAGGCAGCCUCUCUUUGAAAUAGAUUAAAAGCUUUCCUGCAAGAACAUCACAGGACAAAAGCAUCUCUGCAGGACUGGAAACCUGAGCAAAGCACACAAAACCUGACUCUCGCUUAAAGACAGCCCUGGAGGAGGCGUCCCAGAAAGCAGGUGUGACCAGGCACCUAUUCAUCAUUCAGGACAGCUAUGCAGUCAUUUACUUUGGGGACAAGGCUUAUGGUGCUGGUGUCAUCAGGUAUACAACUAGGAAUCUCUUUCCUCCAAAGAACUAACAUAGACCAGGUCAUACAGAAUUCCCAUGAUGCCUUUGUCCCCCACAAUCUCAAGAUCUGAAGCUCCUUGUCCUCUGUGGUCACAGAAUAGUCUCGGGCCCCACUGUGGGCCUGUGGCAAUUAAUCAGUGCUACUUACUGAAUAUUUUGGGCUCUUUGCAUCCUGAGCACUUCCCAUGGUAGGAUUGUACUUCCUCCUUUGUGGGGGAGGCACAUGUGACUAGUGCUGGCCAAUGGGAGGCAAGAGGAAAUGAUGUGUGCCACUUGGUGAUGGGCUAAGCAUGUCAUUUCCAGUGUGAGGCCCCCUGGAGCCCAUUCUUUCCUGUCAUGACAACCAAUAACUUUCCAGGUUGUGUAACUCCUCCACUGGGAUUCCUGAGUGAGUGGAGAAAAGAGGCCCUCCCCACCUGCGAUGGAUAUCUAUGAGUGAGAGAUAGACUUUUGUUGUUUAAAGCCACUGAGAUUAUCAGGCUAUUGGCUAGUUUAAUAUAACAUAACUUAUCCUUUCUGUUACAAAGUCUGAUGCUAAUGUAAAAAAUAACCAGGAAUUGAAGCCUUUUAUUCAAUGGUCUUUUAUUAAUAUAUUUGAAGGCAGACAUUCCACAGGGUACUUUGGGGAAGUGGUAAUAAGGGGAGAGUGAUAAUUCACCCCAGAAUCACUGUGAGCACAGGUAAGACUGUUAACGUGAUGCCAGGCCUCAGAGCAGGGUACUGGGUUGCUAGGAGAGUCAGGAGGACUUAACUCCUGCUAAACAUCACGAAGCACAACAGCACGUGAUUUGCAGCCUGGCAACAGAUGAGGACUCAAUGAACAGCCCCAAAUAAGAGGUCUAACGGCAGAUAUUUCUGUAGCUGUCUUUUGUUGCAGUCUGCUUUUCUUUAUUUAUGCAAAGAACAUAUCCCUGGGGGAAAAAUCAAGUCAUAUCAUAAAUGCAUCAGAGAAGCUUACUAUUUAAGGAAGUCUAUGGUGAAUCCUUUUGUGAAGGAAUAAUCAUCCACCUGAUUUGCAUUUGCUUUGUAAAUGUUGUGUGUCAGGUUUUAUGAAUUUGGGGCACAUCAUAAUGCUUAACAUGAAACAUAGAGUCCAACAGAGCUGAAUUUUAAUCUUAGGUUAGCCAAGACACCUAGUUUGACUUUGUCAUGGAGGGCAGGGUGAGAGGGACAACCGAGGAUGAAUUCUCAUCUAGAAAGUUGCGUGACUUGAGCAUGGAGGUACAAGGUAGAUCAUGGGAAGAGCCCUGGAUGGGAUUAGAUUUCACAUGAGAGAGGCUGAGGAAGGGAAGGAAUAUGGGGAGUGGAAAAGAAAGCAUUGAAUUGGUCAAGCUUAGAUUUUAGAUGAGACCUUAGUAUCGGAAUGAGGAAACUGGGGAGGACACAGCCAGGCCUCUGCUCAGCCCCCAGGGAGGCAAGGCAGGAGAGCGCAUCUGAAUGUCUCGAGUGAGCUUACAGAGGGAACUGGGAUUAGAUGUGUCCAGUCUGCCCACGACUCUGCUGUAUGUGCAUGACACAGUGGAAAGAGCAUGGCCUGCUGUCCAAGACAGAUGGGAGGUUAAAGUCUAACUUUGCCACUUACUACUUACCAGAUGCAUCUCUUUGGGUAAGGUUUGCUUUUUAAAAAAAAUUUUAGUAUCAUUAUUUUAAUCUUUCUGAGCCUCAUUUUAUAUCCAUAUGCUGCAGAUCUUAGUCCCUCCUUGCAGGACUGGUGUGGGGCUCGAGAGCCCGUGCGUGUCAAGUAUCCAGUACUGUAGCUGACCUCAGAUAGGACUCAGGAAAUUAAAACUGUCAAUAUUGUUGACUGGUUAUUUAUUUUUCCUAAGAUCCUAAAUGUUAGAGGUCUGGUAUAGUGUCGAGUCCAUGACGGGGCUUUUAGAGAUAUCUGUGGGAGGGACGAAGCAUGCAGCAGGCCGAGGAGGAUGGGGCAUGGAAAUCAGACGCAGUGCUGAGGGCUAUUGAGCCUCUAUCUGUGAAUCUUUUGCUUUUCCUCCCCAGCAUUACAAAUGCUCCCCAUUUCCCCCUGAAAACAUGUCUGUUUCAUAGAGUUCACAUUGAUCUGAAAGAUUAAAACCAUUUCAGCAACUCCAUGUUUUUCUCUUUUAUUAUUUCUGCCUUGCCACAUCAGGGUCUCUCACCAUUUGAUUUCAAAAACUCAAAGAGCUCUCCCCGUUUUCCCUUUCUUUCCUUUCCCUCUUCUUUUUCUCUUUCCUUUUUUUCCCCUGUUGUCAGAGCUCUGGGAGUUUCUUUUUCCUUUUUAAUUAAGAGUGAAUGAAGGUAACAAAAUGUUUUAUAACUGGAGUGAAUUCACCAGCAGGACACCAGGGCAGAAAUCCAGGCAGUGAAAGAAAGGCAGGCAGACGCAGCCCCUCGCGGUGGGGGGCGCGUCCUGCCCGAGCUCUGCGCCCCGCUGGCUGAUGGCCCAGCCCUCCCCUCCCCGUCAGCCUGGAAGCUUUACCUCUGGUGGAAGUCUCCCUGUCUUUUGUUAGGAAAAGCUACAAUUGGUUAAAAUGUCUGUAAAGCAUUUUUAAACACACAGUGUGCUCCCCUGAAGUGCGCCCGCAAGAGUCCUGCAAGUUAAUUCCUGCCACCCAGGGAAGUGUCCCAAUUUUCCCUCACUUUCACUGACCUACUCCUCAUUGUGUCCCUGGCUGUCUUUCAACUGGGGUGCAGUUUGGCACUGGCGCGGCAGAUCCCGUGGACGAGUCUGCCGGAUGCAUACGCAUGUGCGGACGUAGAGCAAGAUCGAGGCUAAGGGAGAGAGUGUCAGCUGGAGAACCGAGCAGGAGCCCCAGUGCCAUCCUUGCAGCCUUGAGUCUGACGCAUUGCUUUCCCGAGCUCUGUUUUGCACGCCAUACUUGGAAGGCGGCAUUAUGACACUCCUUCCGAGGAAAAAUGUGCUUGUAUUAAACUCCUGGACCAAAUUGCCUCCCUGUUGCCCCCUUUCUUCUUCCUGAGACAUGACGGGUUAUUACAUUUGUGAUUAAAAAAAUCUGUCAUCAGCACGGCUUGCUUUUUCAAUUUUGUUAGAAGGUGAUCCUGAUGCUACGUCUUAGAAGAACAGGAAGGUGGAGAAUAGAGAACGUGUCUUGAUAUUUAAGGAACCCGGCCUGCAGAGAGGGUUGACCCUGUUCUCCGAGUUCACUGCUGUGUGGCUCAGGUGGCUGUGGAAGGUCACUGAGCUGACCACGCACAUUUCGUACCAGUUCUGCACAGCACCAGUGAAGAAAAUGGAUGGGCUGAUUUCUCAAGCCAGUGACUGGAUUGCAGAGGCAAGUCUGUCUGCUGGUUCAUAGGGCACCUUUUAAGAAGUGGGAAACCUGCCCCUUGUGGGCAAAUACAGCUCUGCAAGUGCAAGGCGUGGGGGACCUACAGCAUCUUCCCAUGAAUUCCAUCAAGGAAUGAAGUCCCAACUCUUUAGCGAGCAAGGAGUUCUACAGCCUCCCAUGGCCGCGGGCACCCUUGUGCACUGGACAACCCAUGCAACCUCAUACACAUCAGGCUGGCUCUCCUGCAACCUGGACUGUUUUUGAUCACAGCCAGAGCAAUGUCCAAGUAAUCUGCCAAAUAUUUGUGAAAACAUUAUAUUCGUGUUUAACUGGGGACAAUAGUUUUGUCUUCUUCAUAAAGCAGCAAAUCCCCAGGAGCUGGUCAGGAGCACCAGCUGUUUACUGCCUGCAGAAGCUGCUGCUUAUCUCCUUGUAACCACCUGCCUCUCAGAGAUCAUGUCUUAAUUAACUCAGUGUUAUCGAAACUGAAAUUGUAGCAACAUUGUAAGAUCAAAUUGUAAAUGAAAGAUAAAGGGGAAAGAACUCUGCUGACCAGGGAGCAGCAAGCUUGCUCUGGAGCUGCAGCUAGUUGGCUCCAGGCUGAUUGGUGGCAGCAGCUGAGAUUUACAAUAAUAAAAUCAUGCAUUGUUCCACGUGGAAGGUGUCUUGGAGGUCUUCUAAGCCAGUGGUGUUCAAGUAUUUUUUAUCUCAUGACAUACAACUUAUUCUUCUCAUGUUCAAUAUAUGCUGAUCUUUUCUAUUCUGUCUUAUUUAUUUCAUUUUAGAAAUUACUGGCUAAAAAAUCAUUCAGUUGAUUUCAUGACCUACUACACAUUCACAACAUGAAGAUUGGGAAACAGUGGUCUAGUUGAAUUCCUGAGUUUUAAAGUUAGGGACUGAGGUACAAAGAGGUGAAGUGACUUGCCCCUGGGUAGGUUAUCAGUGGCUAUUGUAUGUAAACCCUUGUCUACUGACUUUUUCCCAGCAGUUCUGUGCCCUGAAAUCUACCAAAUCCUGCCACUGCAGGGCAGCUCCAACAAGAAAAACGAUUCAUAGCCUAAGAAAUAAGACUUCUCAAGACGUUGCUACUUUCAGGAUAAGAGCUGAGCGUCCCUGUAAUACACAGGUAGGCAGGCUCUUUCUCACAUAAAAAGUGUCAGUAGCAACUGUGACUUCGAACACCGCUCUGCAUUCCGAUAAUUGAACAGUAGGGGGCACCAUAGCACCCGGUCUUUUGUGCCUCCUUAAAACCUUCAAACCCAUGUCCCACCCCAUCCCUUCCUUUCUCUUGACCUGCACCCCAGAUUGCAUCUGCUAGAUCAGUUUCUACUCAUCUCAUCUUGAGCCACUCUUCUGAGCCACUGAACUAAAAUAGUAAAUUAAACAGGCAUUCUCAUGGGACAUUUCUUAUUUUUUCUGCCUGUGUUUGUGUAUUUUUAAAGUAUUGAAAGAAGUUUUCCAAGUGAAAGCUAUCUGGUAGAGAACCACACCCAUCUACGGUGGCUAUCACUCUUUGAAGCAGUCUAUGGACCAAAACAGAGUUUGUUUAGUACCUUUGUAUGACAAUGAUUGACUUCAUUGAUAACAUAUGCACUCGGGGUUGUUUUCCCAGCCUGGGGAUUGAUUCAGAGGGUAGUUAGCACCCACAAUGGUCCGGCCACAGGCAGACAAGGAAUCAAGGUGGGGGUGCACGGGCCCACGUGGUAGAUGGCAGAUUGAGUCUGUGUCCGGCGGGCCCCCUUUGAGCUUCACCCACUAGCACAGGCUUCUGUGACGAUCGAAUUACAAGAUACAGAAUGAGGGCGGGGGCUGCGGGCGAUGUCUGUUAACUCCUGGCGAGUCCACUGCUUCAUCGCCGUUUGCCCCCGGCACGUGGGCACAAACUCACUUGAACGGCUGCAUCCCGGAAGCACAGCCCUCUACAGCAAGCUGCUCUCAGCUGUUGCUUUCUUCCCUUCUGGCUGAGGGAAUCCCUCCUUUCUUUCCUCUGAAUGUUCACUACCAGCCCCCCACCCCCUCGAAUACUCAGCACUGAGCUGUGUUGAGAUAGGUGAGGUGGCUAUCAGCUGUGAUUUAAUGACGAGUAUCACUGUCAGAUUUUACAAAACAGAAUUUCAUCAGAUGGUGAAGGGAAGCUUCUGCGCAGAAACUACAGAGGGAGAUUUGACAGCUUUUUCAAUUCAGUUAUCAAAGCAUUUGCAGUUCAAAGCAGGUGAAACAAUAAUGUAAUCUUAGCACUGAAUGCUCAUUUGUAUCUGAGUGUUUCAAUAAAUAAAAUGGUCAGGGAAAUGAAAGCAGACCUGUUGUCUCCAAUCCACUAAAUUUAAUAUCCAGGGUAUUGACUGACAGCUUUUUAUCACCAUAAUUAGUAUGGAUUGUUCCUGAGGCCAUUGAUCAAUCUUCCCUACCUCUAUGGACUCGAGUUGCUGUUUUCUUCCUCUCCUGCCCCCCCCCCUUUAUUUUAAUAUUGAUCUUGCCAGUUGUGUUCCACCGCAGAGAGGAAGCUCACUUAGACAAAAGAAAACUCAGGAUGACAAGAGAUGACUGAGCAGCAGCCAUUUCUAAGUGGCAUCCACCUGUGACGUUGCUCUGACCCAUCCAUGUGACCUUGGGACUUGAUCCUUGGUGCCAGUGACCUUCAGCUCCUCAGUACUGUCACCAGGCACAGUGUCUUCCCCACUGGGUGGAUGCUACUCAGAGACAAGCCAUAGAGCCAAUGGUCAGUAAAUAGCUACCAAAUCAAUGACUCUCUCUUCUUUAAUGUCAUCGAGCUAAAUAGAAGAGUGUGGAAGCACUGAUGAGUUCAGUCGUGUGCGUGUGUGUGUGUUUGUAUGUUUGAUUAUGUAUGGCUGUGAUGUAACCUAUUCCACAUAGUGCAGGCCAGAAACCUGAGACCUUCUUAUUUCUUAUUUCUCACCAAGUUCUUCCAAUUCAAUAUUGUCCUCUUCUCAGCCUUUCUCUCUGUCACCAGGGAUAUACAGUACAUACGUACAUUCCUCACUAUCUCUUGCCUUAACUAUUGCAAUAAUUCACUCUCUCAUUCCCCUGCCUCCUGCUCUGUCUUGCUUGACCCCGGCCUCCCAUCCUCAGGUCCUCCACACAGAUGACGACGGUUUACAUGGAAGGCACACUCUCACGGUACCACCUGGUGUUUCACAUCCAGGCUCCUUGCUGUAGCAAAUAAAGCUUGUUGGAAGCCUCCUCCCUGCCGCUCAGCCUCAUUUCCCCCACCCCUACUGGUACAGCACACUCCAGGAAGACAAAACUGCCAACAGUGCCGCCUAUUUUGUCAGCUGCCUCACACUAAGUCUUUGCUCAUUCUUGACUUCACCUGUGAUAGCCUUUCCAUCCCUUGACUUCUCUUUCCCCUCCCUCAGUAUUUGCUCAGAUGGCAUUUCUUUCACAAAGCAGUCUUUUCACCCCCAGAGCACCCUGAUUAUGUCUUUCUCUCUCUUCUUAGAUUUUACACUUUCUUUUUACGCGCCUCUAUUUCCUACUAGAGGGUAAACCCAUUGGAGACAGGGGCUGUGUGUGUGUGUGUGUGUGUGUGUGUGUGUGUGUUUCUCUGUUCUGUCCACACUGCAAGACACAACUCUUGGCAGCUCGGCUGUGUUUGUUGUACUAGGAAGAAGUAUUCCUAAGAGAAUCAGUGAAUCCCAGUAGCUGGGGCAUCCUUUAUGUCGAAGUGGAUGUGUCAUGGUGCAUGCCACAUGCCAUGCCCUAGAGCCGUGCCACAUAUAAUAACUAGGUAGAGUCUCACUUAUUCUCAGAGUGGGGAGAAGAAAUGGGAAAAUGUCCUUUAUGCAGAUAAGGAGGUAGCAAGGUAUCUUUCUCUGACCUUAAAGAAUUCAGGUGGUGUAGACUGGUCACAUUCCAUAGUAUGGAAGAGUUUUGUAACCUACACACUGAAAUGAAAUUUUCUCACUGGUCUUCCUAAUGGAAUUCCACUCUGCCCCACUUGGUGGUAAAAAUCACACCAUCAGCAUACAUUUUCUGAAGGACAUUUCCGAAGCAGAGUGAAUGCUAUGCAUUUCCAGAAGUGCUGUGGAGCCCAGCGUAACUGAAAAGAGCCCCCAACCCCCAGGGCUGAGGGCCAAGUGGAGCCUGACUUCCGGCAUCCCUGGCCCUACAGCCUGCCCCUGAGGUUACAGGUGUUCGCAGACACCACGUGCCUCUUGUUGAGGCAUUAAACCAAGUACAACUCUUCUGAACUAAGCACAACAGAGCCAAAUUGGACUGGAAAGGCCACAAGUUCCUCAGGGCCCCCGGGGAGCCUGUGGCAUCUACAAUGCAAAUUGGCCCCAUAGAAAAGCAGCCGGAGCCAGGGCCAGCCUUCAGUUGUCCCCAUCAUGCCUGUUGUGGAAGCGCAGUGGCAGAUGUUUCUGGAGGUGACCCCCUGGAUGCACACAGGCGCAGGCAGCACCUCCUCCUCACCAGCCUCUCUCCAGGCUUAUAUAAGACAGAUUUGACAGACUGAUACCAAUUGGCACAUCUUCCCUGCCAGAUUGGAAUCGGGCCCUUCUACCGUCUUUGGGGUCCGUUGCGGCUCCAAGUAAAGCGUACAGAAGGAAUGUGAUGCUUAGCUACACAGCCAGCUUUCCCUUUGCUGCCGUGCUAGCACUUCUAAUCUUGGGCACUUGGUUGCUGUGCGGCCCAUCGCUACAAGUGCAGUCUCCAGCUUGGGAACUUUGAUAUUUGCAGGCAUGUGAAAAUGCCUUUCGUGUGCCUACAGUUGGUCUGGUUAAUUUAUUUGUUUUCUUUUUUAAAGCAAAACUCUUACGUGUGCUUCAGGUUGUAUUGUUAUAUUCCUCCUAACUCGAUCGAGUGUGGCUGGAAUGGGUACCAAUAAUGAAGAAAGACACUCACCUACUAUCUUUUCUUAUCUGAGAUUUCUGCAGCUUUUGCAUGCAGAUGCUUUAGUUUAAAAGGGAUUUCAGUUAUCUUAUUUUGCCUCCUGGGUCCAUGUCUUGACUGUACCACUCACUGGCUGUGAAUUUAGGCAAGCCACUUAGUUUUUCUGAAAUUUCAUUUCCUCAUCUCUGAAGUUCUUUCCAGAUUGGCUUGAGGGUUAAACGAGGUGACAUGGAUGAAACAGCCAAGCAAGGAGCCUGACACAUAGCAGAGGUUCAGUAAAUGCCUUUACCUUCCCUCUCUGUCCCUUCAUAUGGUCUUCCCAGACCCAGAGUCCGUAGGACCUUUGAACUUCCAAAAGCCUAUUAGUAGUAUAGCUCAUUUUAUGUUAUGCAUAUCACAUGCACACCUGUAUAUGCAUAUUGCUUAUGAAGGUGUGUGAGAAUAUAUACCGAAAUAUUUAUAAUAGAUAUUUCUGUAUGGGGAGAUUAUAGGGUAACCUUCCUUCAUUCCUUCCACCCUUUUUUUCUUUCCCUCCUUCCUGUUCAUCUAUAUUUUUUGCCUAUAAUGGGUAUAUUAUAAAAUAGUAAAGGAUACAAAAAUACUAUAGUUCUUUAAAAAUUGAUUUCAUGGGAAGCCAAACGAAGAAGACAGCCUCGAAGUUAAACAGGGAAGCCCAGCUGUGUCCUGUUUUUCACUGCGUCCCACUGCUAGCAUGAGGAAAGAUCAAGCUCACGGUGUGCAGCUGACCACUUGUCUGACUUAGAUUCCUGCCACCUUCCUCCCAGUGUGUGGAAGGAUUCACUCAAGGCUCCGACAGAGCACAGCUGAUGUAGCACGAUUUGGGACCGGAAGUCUGAGCACAACUUAAGGUGCAAUGCCAUUUCCUGACACUGUGCCCUGCUUAUGAGGAUGGAUAGACUUGGAACAUAUUAAUAGAAUACUCCCUAGUGGAGGGAACACUGUAUGUUCAGAAUAAAUAAGUGUGUCUGCUUAUCAAUUUAAUAGUACAGUUAGACCAGGAACCCCUUUGUAUUAGUGCAGAAAAGAGAGCUAUUAAAAUUCCUCUAUGAGGAGAGAAAUCAAAAGAAAGAGAACAGGAACAUAGUAAGCAGAGGGCCACUAGGAAGUGGAAGAAGAGAGAAGAGACAGGAGGAUGGAGCCAGUGGAAGGCUGUAGGAAGAAAGGAGAGUGGGAAGAGGAAACCAGGGUGCUCAGCAGGGAAGCUGUGAUCCUAAGUUUCCAGGG